GACGAACGCUGGCGGCGUGCUUAACACAUGCAAGUCGAACGGAAAGGCCCUGCUUUGGUGGGGUGCUGGAGUGGCGAACGGGUGAGUAACCCGUGGGUAACGUGCCCUUGACUUUGGGAUAACUUAAGGAAGCUGGGGCUAAUACCGGAUAGGAGCUCCUGCUGCAUGGUGGGGGUUGGAAAGUUUCGGCGGUUGGGGAUGGAAUCGCGUCUUAUCAGGUUGUUGGUGGGGUAGUGGCUUACCAAGGCUUGGACGCGUAGCCGGGCUGAGAAGGUGAGCUGCCCAAUUAGACUUGAGAUGAGACACAGCCUCGUCCGGGAGGCAGCAGAGCGGAAUAUUGCAUAAGGCGCGGAACCCUGAUGCAGCCACGCCGUGCGCGGGGUGACGGCCUUGGCGUAGUAAACCGCUUCUGCCUGUCACGAAACGUUAGUGACGGUAAUGGGUAAAGAAGCACCGGCUAACUACGUG
rnacentral:rRNA from 1 species